rnacentral:lncRNA from 1 species
CAAGACCUUGUGGCAAGAAGGGGCUCAGCAUGACUGACAAAUAGCAAGAAGGAUGUCAGCUGUGGCACUGGCUACCUUGACACAUCUUCAUCUGAAGAAAAAAUACAAAGAAGGCCUGCCAUGAUGACAAUUUACUUCAUGAAGAGAACGGGUUCUGAAACGGUCAUUCUUUUCCAUUUAAACAAUGUUACCAUCUCCCAAAGAACAGCUUUGGGGUAGGAAAGAACAGUAUUUCAUUUCAAGCUGGACUACUCAUCUACCAAAAAACCAUUCUGACCAAAGAAACAGAUGCAGAAUUACAGUCACAGCUGCAUUCUGCACAGAACAAGUUGGAUAAUGGGUCAUCCAGGCUGGAAUGCAAGUGACACAAUCACAGCUCACUGCAGCCUUGACUUCCUCGGCUCAAGUGAUCCUCCUGCCUCAGCCUCCCAAGUAGCUGGGACUACAGGCACGUAACGUCACACCUUGUUAAUUUUCAUAUUUUUUCGUAGAGACAGCGUUUUGCCAUAUUGCCCAGGCUAAUCUUGAACUACUGGGCUCAAGCAAUCUGCCUGUCUCAGCCUCCCAAAGUGAUGGGAUUACCGGCAUGAGCCACUGGGCCUGGCCCCACUUUUUCCUUUUUAACACUAUGGGUGUUUUUCUGUGUGUGCUUUUUUGAAUAGAAGUGGUGAGAGGGCACGUUCUUGCCUUUUUCCUAAUCUUAAAAAAGUUUUCGAUACUAAAUAUAUUAUCUAUAGGUUUUUCAAAGAAAUGAGAAGUUGCCUCCUAUUCCUAGUUUGCUGAGGGUUUUAUUUUCUCACGAAUGGGUAUGUUCUCUGUACAAUUAACCAAUGAAAUCG